rnacentral:rRNA from 1 species
CCUACGGGAGGCAGCAGUGGGGAAUCUUGCGCAAUGGGCGAAAGCCUGACGCAGCAACGCCGCGUGCGGGAAGAAGGCUUUCGGGCUGUAAACCGCUUUCAGCAGGAACGAAAAUGACGGUACCUGCAGAAGAAGGAGCGGCCAACUAUGUGCCAGCAGCCGCGGUGAUACAUAGGCUUCAAGCGUUGUCCGGAUUUAUUGGGCGUAAAGAGUUCGUAGGCGGUCAAGUAAGUCGGGUGUGAAAAUUCUGGGCUCAACCCAGAGACGCCACCCGAUACUGCUUAACUUGAGUUCGAUAGGGGAGUGGGGAAUUCCUAGUGUAGCGGUGAAAUGCGCAGAUAUUAGGAGGAACACCGGUGGCGAAGGCGCCACUCUGGAUCGAUACUGACGCUGAGGAACGAAAGCAUGGGUAGCAAACAGGAUUAGAUACCCUGGUAGUCCAUGCCGUAAACGGUGGGACACUAGGUGUGGUUUACUAUUAACGAAUCCGCGCCGUCGACUAUCGCUAUUAAGUCGCCCCGUCCGUAGGGGAGUACCGGUCGCGAAGUAACCUAAAACUCAAAUGUAAAUUGGACCGGCGAGAGACGACGACGACGACGACGACGAGGAGGAGG